CCUACGGGGGGCAGCAGUGAGGAAUAUUGGUCAAUGGACGAGAGUCUGAACCAGCCAAGUAGCGUGAAGGAUGACUGCCCUAUGGGUUGUAAACUUCUUUUAUAUGGGAAUAAAACAGGGUAUGCAUACCCUCUUGUAUGUACCAUAUGAAUAAGGAUCGGCUAACUCCGUGCCAGCAGCCGCGGUAAUACGGAGGAUCCGAGCGUUAUCCGGAUUUAUUGGGUUUAAAGGGAGCGUAGGUGGAUUGUUAAGUCAGUUGUGAAAGUUUGCGGCUCAACCGUAAAAUUGCAGUUGAAACUGGCAGUCUUGAGUACAGUAGAGGUGGGCGGAAUUCGUGGUGUAGCGGUGAAAUGCUUAGAUAUCACGAAGAACUCCGAUUGCGAAGGCAGCUUACCAAACUAUAUCUGACGUUGAGGCACGAAAGCGUGGGUAGCAAACAGGAUUAGAUACCCUGGUAGUC
rnacentral:rRNA from 1 species